CAUGAAGAACCAAAGCACCAACGUGAAGUUGCAGCUGCUAAGAAGGGCCUCUUGCUCUCUCAGCAGGUACCUUGGCUGGGACGUCCUGAUACUACACGCCGCCUGCAGCAAGUUGCUCAUUGGCGAAAGCAGCUGUAUGAAAUGCACCACAUUGGGAAGCAGAACCAGCAUACAGCAAGCCAUCUCCUGAAAACCAAACACCUCAUGGACCUCAGUGACACUUAUGGAAAAGAAGGACCAACCCGCUAUUUCAUAUUUAAUUAAAAUCCAUUAUUAUUUCAUUCCAGCUAUUGAAAAAGGCAAUUAUAUGAGACACUUUGCAUUUAACAGUC